GCUGGGGGCAGUGAUGUGUGCCUGUAAUUUCAGCUAUUCAGGAGGCUGAGACAGGAGGAUCACAAGUUUGAGGCCAGUCUGGCCAACUUAGUGAGACCUUGUCUCA
rnacentral:SRP_RNA from 1 species